rnacentral:rRNA from 1 species
UACGUAGGUGGCAAGCGUUGUCCGGAUUUACUGGGCGUAAAGAGCGCGCAGGCGGUCGAUCAAGUCGCGUGUGAAAGCCCCCGGCUCAACUGGGGAGGGUCACGCGAUACUGAUCGACUCGAAGGCAGGAGAGGGUAGUGGAAUUCCCGGUGCAGUGGUGAAAUGCGUAGAUAUCGGGAGGAACACCAGUGGCGAAGGCGACUACCUGGCCUGUUUCUUGACGCUGAGGCGCGAAAGCUAGGGGAGCAAACGGG